GACGAACGCUGGCGGCGUGCUUAACACAUGCAAGUCGAACGGAAAGGCCCUGCUUUUGUGGGGUGCUCGAGUGGCGAACGGGUGAGUAACACGUGAGUAACCUGCCCUUGACUUUGGGAUAACUUCAGGAAAUUGGGGCUAAUACCGGAUAGGAGCUCCUGCUGCAUGGUGGGGGUUGGAAAGUUUCGGCGGUUGGGGAUGGACUCGCGGCUUAUCAGCUUGUUGGUGGGGUAGUGGCUUACCAAGGCUUUGACGGGUAGCCGGCCUGAGAGGGUGACCGGCCACAUGGGGACUGAGAUACGGCCCAGACGCCUACGGGAGGCAGCAGGGGGGAAUAUUGCACAAUGGGCGGAAGCCUGAUGCAGCAACGCCGCGUGCGGGAUGACGGCCUUCGGGUUGUAAACCGCUGUCGCCUGUGACGAAGCGUGAGUGACGGUAAUGGGUAAAGAAGCACCGGCUAACUACGUG
rnacentral:rRNA from 1 species